AAGCACAGGCUGUGGCGCUUUGGCCAUAAAAUUGGGACGAUAAAGAGAAGAUUAGCAUGACCCCUGCGCAAGUUUGACACGUACAAAUCGAGAGAUGGUUCAAAUUUUU
rnacentral:snRNA from 1 species